AAAAGUAUAGCUCAGUGGUAGAGCACGUGCUUAGCACGCAUGAGGUCCUGGGUUCAAUCCCCCAGUACCUCUA
rnacentral:tRNA from 1 species